AAUUCUUCUCCCAAAUUCCUCCCUCUCUCACCCGUCGGUAUCUCCCUCUCCCACUCGAUCUCCACACGGACAAGGCGGCGAUGGCACGGGCACGGGCGGGCACGGCGGCGGCGGCUGCGGCCGGCCUCCUCUCCUCCUCCUCCUCCUCCUCCUCCUCCUCCUCCUCUUCCCCACGCCUCGUGCUGUGCCGGCCAUGUCCGCACCACCACCUCACGGCACGAGGUGCUGUGGUGCGGCAUACCCCGUGGACACUGGCGAUGCCUGCCCCAGGCCAUAGCGCGGUGCGAGGGUGCGAGCUGCUGGCCGCAGGUGUGCCUGCCCCUUGGUGAUGCCUCCUCUCUCUGUUGUGCGAGUGCUACAAGAAACCCUAGCUGCCUAUGCUGCAGGUCUCGACGGCCCAGCGCCGACCACACCCCUGCUGUUGGUGCCCUCCUCAUGCGUGGAGAUGCUCGCUGACAACGCAGCGGCGGCUGCAUGAACAACGAGGUAAACUCUCAGCUCCCCUGUCUCUAGCCCUCACUUUCUUCUAAUUUAGUCUUUGGUUUUAGUUUUAUAGUACUGAUUAAAAGGGUUUGCAGGUUUUCUACAUGGUUACAGGAAACUAAGAAUGAAACAUAUGUACUAGAGAAAAAAAAUGCAGAUUCUAACAUGUGCACUUCUCCAUUCUUAUUUAAUGACAACAAGAAAUUCCUUUAAUAGUAGGAGGAGUAGGAGAAUUGUCUGGUUGAUAUAUUGCCCUAUUAUCAUGUAUAUGGUUCUAAUUCUGCAGUACAUGUUCCACUCAUUUCAUGUAUUUGUCCACUGUUGAUAGAUCUCAUGUUUUUAUAUGUGCAUGUUUCCAUUGAUUUCUAGCGACAAGGAUUUACCAUGCUUCUUAGUUUUGUUUCAAUGGUGUAAACUUUGCUAUACCUCAUUUACACAAAAAAAAAAAACUUCUCUGCACUGUUAAUUAUUGUCUCUUCCAAUUUGUUAUAGCCAUGCAUGUCCUUGAUACUCUGCCAAAAAAGAACCUUUUCACCGUAUUUAUAGAUUGUAGUUGUCCUCUUUCCAUAGUUGUUUGUAACUGUUAAUUACAGUCUCUUCCAAUCUGUUACAGGCAUGCAUGUCCUCGAUACUAUAUCAAAAAAGAACCUUUUCCCCGUAUUUACAUAUUGUAGUUAUCCUCUUUCCAUAGUCGUUCGUAACGAACUUACCCAUUAAUCUCAGUAACAAUUGAAGAUAUUAUGUCGUCUCACACCAAAAAAUAUUUGGAAUGCCUCAUGUGUAUACAAUAAAAUUAUUUUUCAUACUGCUGCUUGCCUAAUGUACAAUAAAAUUCUUUUUCAUAAUGCUGUGUGCCUAAUUUUUUUUAGUGUGCAGUUGUAUGAUCUAUGAAAUAUCUGGGUCCUAACUUAUUCAUAUGUUGAGUCACAGUUUUUCAAUGCAAUGAUUACUUGGCACUUUCUGUAUUUUAUCUUUGUUAACCUUAUUGGUCGGAGUUGCUUGCCUUUGUCAUAUCCUUUAAGCACCUUACUUUUAUGUGUGUGUUUUCUUCAUUCCUGACCUAUUGUGUGGAAUAUAGAAUACUAGCCACAGACACAAGUGCUACAACUAACCUGCAGGCUCAAUGUAACUAGAAACAACUUAGCCAAUACAGAAAGAAAUAAGGCUACAAGGCCUCAGGGAAUAGCUGCUUUUUUGUUUAUUAUUCAGGUUAGUAUUGUUUCAAAUUUUAUAUGCAUGAAACUAGACUUAUGCAUCCUAGAAUUAAUCCUGCAUGAAACUGAACUAUCUUGGAAGGUGUCCCUUCCACCAAUUACUGCUAAAACUAAUUGUACUUUCUGUUUGUCAUUCAUCUUAAUGCCAACAUGAUCAUACAAAUUAAAUAUAUUCAUGUACCUACCUGUCCCUUACUAUUUACUUGCCAUAGCAACUUGGGAUUGGAGUUUCAAUUUACAGUUAUAUGUAGCUGAAUGAUUUAGUCUUUUGGAGUGAUCUGGUAUUAUAUUCAUAUGCUUCCAUGACUGUAUGCUAAGAAAAAUGCCUCCAUUAUUUUCUGCCAUGAGAAAAUUAUUUAUCUAAGGAGAUUGCAAAUGGCUACUACGAUGUUGAUAAUAUCGAUUUUGAAGCUACAUUGCCAUCCUUUGUUAUUGUACGUUUCUUUUUGCACAAAAGAGGUAGAUAGUGGAUGGUUUUCCAUAAAGGUGUGUGCUAGAUUAGUAUACCAUACUGAUACUGCAGUAAGUCAUUUAUGUCCCUUCUUUUAUAUGCAACUCAAAUGACAGUUGCCUUAGCCCAUUAUAUUUGUACAGAUAAUUAUGAACAAACCUUUUAAAAUGUAUUGACGAAUAAAUUUCAGGCAUCUUCGCACCAAAUAGAACAAGCAGCCACUCAGGGUAAACAUGAAGUCCUCGAAUUACGAAAUACUCAUGUUUAUCCCUGAUCUUCGAAAAUUUCAUAUCGACACUUGCAACUACAAUUAGUCACAUAGGUUACGACAAUCCUAACAAUUCUUAAUAUUUGUUUCUAUUGGCAGACACCCUCACCAGGAUUACAUUACAAAUUUUGAAACUGUCAAAUUUCUGUACAUUACAAAAGAUGAUGUACAGAAAGCAAUGAAGACCAUAUUAAAUAUUAUUGAUCCAUCAGUACCUGCAGAUAAAUGGUUUUCCUUUUUUUGGUCCAGAAAGACAGCUAUUUACAACUAACAACUCAUUUGUUUUGUUUCCCUUCACUUUUGUUCCUACAAAUCUACUGCAACACAUGAAGACUCCACUUUAGCUCCCGGGAAUGUUCGGAAGCGUACCACAACAUAACACCUGAGGAUAAGGUUUGAACUAAUUCUCCUUUUGUUUACAUGUAUCAACAAUGAUAUAUCGACAACAACCAAGUGUUAUGAGCGUCGCCAACAACUAUGUUUUAAACUUCUAUUUCUCGGUGCACUAACCAAGUUGGGUCAUGAUUUUUUAUAUGAAGUCGAGAGGCACACAAUAAUAUAUUUGCUUAUUGAGUCUAAGGUGGCAUCCUACUAUAAGAAUUUUAGUGAGCUUGGCAACUUAAAUGCAUUCCUUUUUUAUAGUGCUGACAACUUUAAAGAUUUUGGUUUGUAUUAUAUGAACUUCAAGUACUACUAACUAAUGUUACCCAUCAUUGUUUUUUAGCUUGAACGCUUGCCACAUGAUUAUAGUGGAUCUGCGUUGAGAGUGAUUGAGUCAUUAUCAAGGUCUGCUUUAUGAAACUAUAAUGUUUCUAUUUUUUACUGCUCUCACAUAUUGUCUUUGGUUGUUUAAAAUAUAAACUGCUAUAUUUUCUGUUAUGACACUUCUGUUCAUAAGAUUGGUAUGUGAUGCCUCUCUGUUUGGCUCACGCAGCCUUCUUGUCUUAUGUAACCUAGCAAAAUCUGAGAGACGAAUUCUCUGGCUUCCAGAAAUCUGACAGUUGAUGUCUUUGUCAGUUUAUGCUAUUUGAUCAUGUAUAUAUACAGGAUUUCAAGAAUCAAAUCAGCUUUGCCCUCUGUCAUUGUUUUUCCUUUUUUGCUACUCACUAUAACAUGGAUUUGCACUAGGCAAUUUUUGCUACCAUCUACCUUGAAGAAGGUGAAACCUAUUGGUUGAUCAUGGAGGCUGUAAAAAGUAUUAGCUCUUUUUUUCCUUUUCAAACCUGACAUGUGCCUUUAUUCUAGUUUUUAUUCAAACUGUUCCAAAUAUUCACUUGAGUUCCCUUAUCUGGAAGAUAAAAUCAUUUGUAGGUUGGCUCACAACCUAUUACAUCUAUGCAAAAAAAGAAACUGGGUGUUGCAGAGAAAAUUAAUUCAAUGCCCUUCAGCCUCCACACAGGUAUGUACAUUUUGUGAGCAAUCAUGUAGAUUACGUGAUUACUGUUCAAGAAGAUUAGAAACCCUCAUGGGUUCUAGCAGAAUAUGUUUAACUCUAAAUUUAGCCUAUAUGUGACGGAACACUUUGGCGGUCAACUCACUACCAAAUCAGGGAGUCCACGACGUGAUGAAAGCAAGAUGGACAGACGUUGGGUGUAUGGUGUGUUAUUUACACCUCAGUAUAUUGGUGGUGUGAAAUCUUUCAUGGACUUCAUCAAAGAGAGGUUUAAUGAGACUGAACAAAUUCUGUGCCCAUGUACUAAUUGUUUAAACCAUAAAUAUCUACACCAGAAUGAUGCGGAGAGGCACCUACUGCUCAAUGGCAUGUCCACUACAUAUACAAGGUGGAUAAACCAUGAAGAGGGCAGCGAUGUUCAUGUUUUGGAGGAGCCAGUACCUAAGGAUGGAAAUGAUAAUUCUUUGGAGGAACCAGUACAUGAUGAUGGAUUGGAUGCGAUGUUAAGGGACCUUGUCAGCUCCGAACAUGUAAAUGAUGAUGGACAUGAUGAUGGAAACCCAUCCAAUGAUGCUGCAUCACGUUUCAAACAUUUGAUUGAAGAGGCUAAGCAUGAACUAUAUCUGGGUUGCACAAAUUUUUCAAGGUUGACAUUUGUGAUCAAGCUACUCCAUGUCAAGUCAUAUUAUAGGAUCACUAACUCAGCAUUUUCUAUGAUUUUGGAGAUGUUGUCAGAUGCUUUCCCACAGUUCAACACUGUUCCAAAAUCAUAUGUUGAAGCAAAGAAAAUGCUUCAUGAAUUGGGACUUGGUUAUAUAUCAAUUCAUGUGUGCCCAAACAAUUGUGUGCUAUUUAGAAAGACAUAUAAGGAAUUAGAUAAUUGUCCAGUUUGUCAAGCAUCAAGAUGGAAAGAUCCUGAGAAGAAGAAGGUUCCUGCAAAGGUGUUGUGGCAUUUUCCAUUGAUCCCUAGGCUACAAAGGUUGUUUGUUUCUAGGAAAUCAUCUGAGGAAGCAUUUUCCAUUGAUCCCUAGGCUACAAAGGUUGUUUGUUUCUAGGAAAUCAUCUGAGGAAGUACAGUGGCAUAAGUUGAAGAGGAAACAAAAUGAGAAGGAAAUGACCCAUCCUGUUGAUGGAAAGGCAUGAGAAGAUUUUGACAAAGUGUUGGCCUAAUUUUGCUAAAGAUGCACGAAACAUAAGACUUGGAGACUUGGACUUUGCCACAGAUGGUUUCAAUCCUUUUAGCAACAUGAGUUCAUCUUAUAGCAUGUGGCUUGUUUUUGUGAUUCCAUACAACUUACCACCUUGGUUAUGCAUGCAAGAAUCUAAUUUCAUGAUGUCUUUGUUGAUUCUCGGUCCUCAUUCACCAGGGAAGGCGUUUGAUAUUUUCUUGCAGCCUCUAGUAGAAGAUUUACUUGAGCUAUGGAGAGGUGUGGAUACCCUUGAUGCUAUCACAGGAAAAGAUUUUAAGCUUCAUGCUGCAGUGUUGUGGUGCAUUCAUGACUACCCAGCACUAAGUACUCUAUCAGGGCGUACCACUAGUGGUUACUUUGCUUGUCUCCAUUGUGACACAAAUCCUCUAUCCUAUGCCAGGAGCAAGAUAUGCUAUAUUGGGCACUGUCGUUUCCUUCCAAGAGGUCAUCAUUUGCGCAAGGCCAAUGAUUUUGAGUCUCUCCAUGGUACUAGUGCAAAGCCAGGUACUUUCACUAGAGAAGAGUUGCUAGAAGAAUUAGAAAAGGUUAGAGAUGUUAGAGUUGGACAGAAAAGGAAGCGUUCUGGGAAUCGUGUACCAAUUUGGGGUAGAAGGGUUUGUUUGUGGGACGUACCAUAUUGGUCAUCUCUAAAGCUCAGACACAAUCUUGAUGUGAUGCACAUUGAAAAAAAUGUAUGUGAAAGUCUGCUUGGUACCAUUCUUGACAUCAAAGGGAAGUCAAAAGAUACAACUAAUGCAAGGUUAGAUCUUGCUGAUCUGAAAAUUAGGAAGGAGUUGCAAUUGCAGCAUAAGGGAGAUGAUGACUAUGACAUGCCUAAAGCUCGAUAUACGUUGUCCCAGUCAAUGAAGACUCAAUUUCUUAAUUUCUUGAAGGAUGCCAAGUUUCCAGACGGGUAUGCUUCAAAUAUACAAAAGUGCUUAACUGCUGAUGCAAUCAAGUGGCAAGGCCUAAAAACUCAUGACUGUCACAUUCUGUUGCAAAGGAUUAUACCUGCUGUGGUAAGAGGGUUAUUGGACGAUGAUGUCUAUCAAACAAUUGCUGAGUUUGGCAAAUUUUUCAGGGAAUUGUGCAGCCAAAGACUGAACACAGAUUUGUUGGCUCGAAUGAAGACAGAAAUACCUAUCAUAUUGUGCAAGCUUGAGAAGAUAUUCCCCCCUCCUUUUUUGAUGUUAUGGUUCACCUUGCUGUCCAUUUGCCUGAUGAGGCCAUCCUUCGGGGACCUGUACAAUUUGGUUGGAUGUACCCAAUUGAACAUCGUUUGUAUACUCUGAAGAAGUCUUAGGAACAAGGCAUGUCCAGAAGGCUCAAUUGCAGAGGCUUAUGUGGUAGAUGAAGCCCUCACAUUUUGCUCUAGAUAUAUGGAAGAUGUGGAGACAAGGUUUAAUCGGCUUCCAAGAAAUGUUGGAUUUUCAGAUCAGUCAGCAUAUAUUGUUGAUGUUUUUGGGCACGGUGUUAAUCUUAUAAGCGCAUAUGAUUAUUCGUACUCUGAGGAAAUUGAUCAGCUGGUUUGGUAUGUUCUCAACAAUUGUGAUCAGGCCGAGAAAUUAAUAAAAAAGUUUCAAGAUGACUUAACAACAUCAGGGGUGGCUGCUGCAGAUCUUGAAAGAAGGACAGAGAAUGGCUUUGUGCAUUGGUUCAGGAAUCAUGUUAGUCUCUUAAUAGUAUCCUAGUAUUUCUGUAAUGUUUUAGUAAUUAUAAUUAGGCGCUGAGACAUUUCCCAUUGUAGAUGUGGAGGUUGAAUGCAACAGACGUGGUUGAUGAUGAUUUACUUGCCUUAGCUUGUGGCCCUGACAUUAGAGUAAGAUCAUACUCCACUUGUGUUGUCAAUGGUGUUCGGUUCAACACCGCCGAGCGUGACAAAAACAAGACGACACAAAACUCCAGGUUGACCUGUACAGGUGCAUAUAGAAAUGGAAUAAUUGAUUAUUAUGGCACACCUAAAGAGAUUAUUGAGUUUCUGUACACUGACAAGGAUGAUGGUACAAAACGAUCAGUUGUAGUUUUUAGAUGUGACUGGUACAAAUUAGAUGGUAAGCAUACCUCAUUAAAAGAUGAUGAGUUCUAUAAGAGUAUCAAUAUUAGCAACUUGUGGUGCAAAAAGGAUAGUUUUAUUUUGGCAACUCAAGCGACACAAGUAUUCUAUUUGCCAGAUAAUAAGCAUGGAAAGAAUUGGCGGAUUGUUCAAAGGUUUAAUCAUCGCCAUUUGUAUAAUGUGUCUCAAAUAGAUGGUGUUGCAUCCACUGCUGCACCCUAUCAAGAGCAAACAUGUGUUGUGGACCUUGGGAGGAGACCAGAAGUAUCUGACAUGCCUUUAAGCCGAGAUGAUGAGGCUGGCUUUGUUGUUCAUGCUGCUGAGAUUGCUCUUCUUAAUAAGAAAAAUCAACUAAAUGCUAAUAAUGAAGCUGAUAUACAAUUACCAUCAAAUUUUCUUAACAGCAUCAUGUAUAUAUGUGAAGGUUGAUAUUGUAUAGGGAGAGCAAAUGAUUUUAUCUGAAUAUGUUACACAUUUGACCAUUUGGAAUGGAGAGAGUAGGAACCAAGUGGAGACCAACCAGUCAACUUUUUGACCAA